rnacentral:tRNA from 1 species
GGUAGGCUGACAGAGUCGGCUUAAUGUGCCUCCCUGCUAAGGAGUGCGGUCCUCCCGGGCCACGAGGGUUCGAAUCCCUCGCCUACCUCCA